AAUUUGCUCGAAAUUUUGAAGAAAAAAAAUUGAAGUCCAUGAAUCGAAAAAGAUUCUAGUAAUCACAGGAGACAAAGACAAUGUGAUAAUGAUAAAAGAUCCAUCUACACAGCAAUUUAAAUUGUUCCACAUAACAUGCAAACUUGAGAGUGUAAAUCCAAUAAACAUGAAAUUAUAUGCACAGCGCUAACCAACAUAAAACUCAAUUUAUUCCACAAAGGGCAUAUUAAUGUACAACCUUUAAAAAGUUUUAAGGAAAACUAGAAAAGAAGCAAACUUUGAAUGCACAACAAACAACAUGCAGCUGAAUUAACAAAACCAAUACUGUUACAUGAGCUAGCCAAAGCACCAUAGUCCAUUUAAUCGAGUUAAGACCUUCAUCUUUUCACUUUCAAAGAUCAAUCUACAAAAAUAAACUACCAGCACUAAAAGAUUUAAUAAUUUAUGCGUCCAUGCACUUGUAUCUGAUCUUAAAAACUCAGAAAAAAAAAAUCUUCCAGCUAAAAAUUUAAUAAUAAAAGUCGGAGGACCAUGAAAACCCUAAAUUAAGUGAAACCACUAGACUUAAAUUUAC
rnacentral:misc_RNA from 1 species